rnacentral:rRNA from 1 species
UACGAAGGGGGCUAGCGUUGCUCGGAAUUACUGGGCGUAAAGCGCACGUAGGCGGCUUCUUAAGUCGGUGGUGAAAUCCUGGAGCUCAACUCCAGAACUGCCUUUGAUACUGAGGAUCUUGAGUUCGGGAGAGGUGAGUGGAACUGCGAGUGUAGAGGUGAAAUUCGUAGAUAUUCGCAAGAACACCAGUGGCGAAGGCGGCUCACUGGACACGUAUUGACGCUGAGGUGCGAAAGCGUGGGGAGCAAACAGG